rnacentral:rRNA from 1 species
AUACGGAGGGCGCAAGCGUUGUUCGGAAUCAUUGGGCGUAAAGCGCGUGUAGGCGGCUUGGCAAGUCGGGUGUGAAAUCCCGGGGCUCAACCCCGGAACUGCACUCGAAACUGCCUCGCUGGAGUCCCGGAGAGGAGAGCGGAAUUCCCGGUGUAGAGGUGAAAUUCGUAGAUAUCGGGAGGAACACCAGCGGCGAAGGCGGCUCUCUGGACGGUGACUGACGCUGAGACGCGAAAGCGUGGGGAGCAAACAGGAUUAGAAACCCGGGUAGUCC